CGGUUUUUAGAAUGGAUAAAAAUAUUGAACAAAGAAUUUGUCUCAAAUUUUGUAUUUCUAAGCAAAUUUCGUGCGUGAAAUCGUUGCGAAUAUUGGAAAAGGCUUACGGUGAUUCACAAACACAAGCCAACAAGUGGUACAAGACCUUCACUGACGGUCGAGAGAUCGUUAAAGACAUGUUUCGUUCUGGACGACUUUCGACUUCUUCAACUGAUGAAAGUAUUAAAACAGUGAAGGAUAUAGUGCUAGAAAAUCGUCAGGCAAGUGACAGAAAGAUGGCAAGAGUCGACAUCUCUCGCGGGUUCGUUCGAAUGGUUUUCGUGGAUAUUUUGGUUAUGAAAUACGUUACGAUAAAGCUGAUUUUUUUCAAAAAGAGUGCGAUUGUGACCGAAUUUAUAGACAAAAACGCAAUAAGCUUAUGAAAAGUGUUUCGAGAACUGGAAAAUCGUUGGCAUAGGUGUAUUAUAACUGGUGGGGACUACUCUGAAGGCAGCAAAAAAAAUAUCGAUGAAUAAUUAAAUAUUCUGCGUUUUAUUUACAACUGGAAUCGGUGAGUCAAAUUACUCCGUAACGGCUAGACCAAUUAGCUUGAAGUUUUCACACGGCCAUCUUAGAUAUUUAUAUUUAUCAGAUUUCAAAAAAUUAAGCGCAAAAACAUUAGAGAUCGACUGGGGCACAGGAUUUUGGCUUAAACCGACUUAUGCUAUUUAAAAAAUUGCGACAAAAAUGUUUAUGGUGUAUAAUUUUAUUGGAAUAUUUUGUUGAAACUGCGUACACGCUGCGGAAUCCUGCAUUCCAAAAAUUGACAUAAAAUAAAUUCGCUAUAAUUAAGCAAUAUCGGUAUUACCAAGAGUUUCACAAAUGCACAUACAUAUGUAGACUCAAGUGCAAUUUCAUAUAUGGAAAAGGUUAUCACUCAAAAUUUGAUUUCGGAUGAAAUGAAUGAUCGAACGUAUGCUCUGUUCACCAGCAAAUUAAUAAUAAGGUAUACAUUACAGGCAGAGAGCAUAUUUACAAACAUAUAUAUAUACCUAUAUGUAUAAAGGUAUAUACAUAUUAUUCGAUUUAUACCUUAUUUAAA